rnacentral:rRNA from 1 species
CAGUCGCCGCGGGAAUACGUAGGUGGCAAGCGUUGUCCGGAAUUAUUGGGCGUAAAGGGCUCGCAGGCGGUUUCUUAAGUCUGAUGUGAGAGCCCCCGGCUCAACCGGGGAGGGUCAUUGGAAGCUGGGAAACUUGAGUGCAGAAGAGGAGAGUGGAAUUCCACGUGUAGCGGUGAAAUGCGUAGAGAUGUGGAGGAACACCAGUGGCGAAGGCGACUCUCUGGUCUGUAACUGACGCUGAGGAGCGAAAGCGUGGGGAGCGAACAGGAUUAGAUACCCCAGUAGUCCCUGUCUCUUAUAC